GACGAACGCUGGCGGCGUGCCUAAUACAUGCAAGUAGAACGCAGUUGCGAACGGGUGCGUAACGCGUAGGUAACUGCCUCAUAGCGGGGGAUAACUAUUGGAAACGAUAGCUAAUACCGCAUACUGUGAGAUGGACCUGCGUUGUAUUAGCUAGUUGGUGAGGUAAAGGCUCAACAAGGCGAUGAUCCAUAGCCGACCUGAGAGGGGUGUCGGGCCCACCGGGACUGGGAACCGGGCCAGACUCCUUAGGGAGGCAGCAGGAGGGAAUCUUUGGGAAAGGACGGAAGGUUGACCGGGCAACGCCGCGUGAGUGAAGAAGGUUUUCGGGUCGUAAAGCUCUGUUGUUAGGGAAGCGGUAUCUAACCAGAAAGGGACGGCUAACUACGUGCCAGCAGCCGCGGUAAUUC
rnacentral:rRNA from 1 species